rnacentral:rRNA from 1 species
AUGUUACGGACCUUUUCUGAUGCUAUGGGACAGAAGCAUCCUAUAUCUGUGAUCACGGAUGGGGACCUUGCAAUGCAGAGAGCAAUCAGGAUGGUGUGGCCUGACUCAAACCAUAGGCUCUGUAUAUGGCACAUUCAGCAGAACAUUGUACGCCAUCUGCAUGAUGACGCGGUAAAGGAGGAAUUCCGAUCUUUCAUAUAUGAUACAUCUUCCAUUGAAGAGCAUGAGAGAAAAUGGUUACACUUCUUACAACGGAAUAAAGUAACAAGUGAGGACUCCUGGCUGCAUCAGAUGUAUAAGAUGAGAAAACUGUGGUGUGCUCCAUAUCUUGAGGGCCGUUGUUUUCUAGGAUUGAGCAGCAAUCAGCGGAGUGAGAGUUUAAACUCGGUGCUACAUACGCAUCUUGAGGCUAAGAUGACGUUGUUUCAAAUGCUAGAGCAUUAUGAGCGUUGCCUUGCGUCGCGACGCUUGAACGAGGCUCUCCAAGAUGUCGAGGCCUUACAGUCCGUUCCGUUCACAGAGGAAAAUGCUUCAGUUCUUGAGAAACAUGUCGCGAAAGUUUUCACUCCUGCUAUGUUUAAGUUGGUCUUAUGGAGCAUAGAUGCUGUCAAAAAAUGUGAGAUCAGAGAGGUACUUGAUGCAGCAGAGGUUACCACAUACGUUGUGUCUAAGAAGGAAAGAAUGGAUAAAAAGAUCGAAGUGCGCACGGAGUCAAAGGAAGGUAUGCUUCGCAGUAUCAGUUGUUCUUGCCGCAAAUUGGAAUGCGCAGGCACACCAUGUUCCCACAUAUUUUACAUAUUGGGAAUUUUACAAGAAGAAACACUGCCCAGGUGUUGUGUUCCCACUAGAUGGACAAUG